GGUUGCGAUAUUGCCUUUUAUUGUUGCUCUCCGCGCAGGUUUGCAGCUCUCCCACACGCCUCCCACUUCAUCGGCCCAUCCCUCGCAUCGCCCUCCUCCACCGCCACGCCACGCUGAUGUGUGUCACUCAAGGUGGCGACAGGCUGAGAUGGCGCUGCCGACGAGCUGUCGAGUGGAACAACAGUUUCACAGGCCUGCUGCUGACAUGGGAUGUAAACGAGUGAGGUGAAAAGGAUCCUGGGAACACUCGGGUUCUGCUUUUCCAUGAGACUCUCAUUGCUCAUGGUUCAAAACGGAACAAAGAUCUUCUCUGUGUUGGAACGCUUGGGAGAAAUCCAAGCCACACUGUAAUAGCCCCAGUGUAACAAGAGCGCAAUGGAAGUGUGACAGUUCGUUGGAGAAUUCUAAGCUUGUGGAAGGUGACGUGUGAGCGAGCAAGAGCGCAAAGGCAGAUGUUGCGGCCCGGAGAAUCAACUGCAUGUGUCUGGAUGGAAGGUGUAUGCUAUAAAGACACACAUGGGAAGUGUUGGGAUCAAUCAAUCCAACACCUGAAGGGAGUCACUGCGAGAAUAACAACACGAUGCAGGUUAGGCUUAAACUCUUUGAUGGGAAAUAUCAGAUGCCUUUUGGAGGUCUUUUCUCUCAGGCGUCAUCUCUGGCUGUCUUUACGCUGAACUUGCCAUUCGCAGGCAGCCUCUCUCUGUCUCCUGUGGUGUGUUUGUAUGCUUUGAACACAUCAAACUGUUCUUUUGAAGGUCGCAGUCAUAAAAACGUCCUUUGAUGGUCUUGUCACUUUGUACAGUAAUGCUCUUGCUCGCUGCUAUCCAAAACUCCAGACGGACAUGACCACACCUCUUCAAGAUGUAAACAGUGACCAGCGGUAACAGAUGGAGACUGCCCACCAUCCGCAGCCCCUCUUCCUUCUUCCACCAAGGUCUUCUGCUGCUCCCUCCACAGUGCUGCGUUGUGUAUGUCUCCCCCAUACACUGAGAUACCCCCCUGACCGGAGGCUCGUCGCGAGACAUGUGGAUGCGGCACAAAAGCCAUCGCGAAUUGUUCCACCUGGCUGAUCGCUCAAUUUCGUCCGCUCAAAGGAUCUCAAAUGACGCCUUCAUGCAUGUUGGCCAUGAGAGGCCAAGAACAGAAAUAGGAUGCUAUGUAAUAUUUAUUCGCUAACACUAUUGGUAUGAUCCUCAAGUGUUACCAGGGAAACAAGGCGAUAUUUAGUAAUACACUGACACUUUCUCUCACAUGCACGCACGCACACACACUCAUAAAUGCAUGCCUGUGUGCUUCCUCACUUCCUAUUGAAUAUGAUAUUCCAUUCACUGAUAUUAAGUCAGGAUUGAACCCUUGUGGGGAUGUAUUGCUGUAUGAUGCAGUGUAUGACGCAAGCACUUUUGAGGGUAACCCAUAUCAGGAAGCAUGCGAAGGCCACAAAGAGAGUGAGAGAGAGAAGGUCGGAACCUUCUCGGUGUCGAGUGACGGUGCCUUCCGCCCACCAUCACAUCCAGUGAUGCUAUAAAUAGAGCGGCGAAUCCAUUUAUAGCUCAAUGCCACAUUCUGAUGCCGAACGGAUGACACGUCUCAGUCAUAGCGCCGCCGGAAAAUAAGAUUAUGUCUCCAUCGGCAAGGGUUCGAAUGUGUUGCUGGUUCACCUUCGAUGUUAACAUAACCUUGUUAGACGUUUUUUUUAGAUUGCAGUCAAAUUAUGAAUGUUGGGAAUUUUAGACUGUAUUCUUUUGUCCAAUUGUAAUUAACAUUUCGCUAAGCCAUACACUGGAAACACUGGGCAAUCACAAUGUAAUACAAAUCGGAGGGCAACAGUUUUCUGGCAAAUGUUUUUGAAAAAAAAAAAAAGUUUCCAAAAUUGUUAAAACUAACCCAGAUUAAAGCAGGCUAAAGCUGUGUUGUUGAAUCCCUUUAAAUAUCAGCCUAAAUUAAAGACCCUCAAAAGUGAAUUCAGAUAUUUGAUUCUGAGUGCCUCAUACAUUUGAAGAUAAUUGCUGAAAACGUGCAAAGACUGAGAACAGUGGAAAACUGAAUUGUGGAGCUAUAGCAUUAAAGUUUUUUUUUCUCCCCAUUUCAGUUUGUGGCUAAAAUGGCGACUGAGGACGCACUUUGGCAUCCGGCAUGAGUCGCCAUUCUCCCACUGUAUUAGAACUGAGCGCCUUUUGUUCGCAUCAGUGGCUAUCCGACGCAGUUGCGAGUUGCUGAGUUAUAAUUACAUGGCCCUUUUUUUUACCACUAGAACGUGCGGUUAGCUAUCGAGCUAUUGUAUGCUUCCCUGAAUGCCACGGAGUGAUUUUAAUUCCCAAGUGUCAUUUAUUUGGUGUUAUUGAGACUAUCGUAAUAUGUUGGAAUGUAUAGCAUCGUGGUUACAUGACUGGCUGGAAGCAUAUGCCCCCAAAUGUAUAUCAUGUAGUGUGAGCCACAGGCUGUAU